CGCUGGCGGCGUGCUUAACACAUGCAAGUCGAACGGUGACCCAGGGCUUGCCCUGGUGAUCAGUGGCGAACGGGUGAGUAACACGUGGGCAACCUGCCCCUGACUUCGGGAUAACUCCUCGAAAGAGGAGCUAAUACCGGAUACGACCACUUCGGACAUCCGAUGGUGGUGGAAAGUUCUUCGGUCAGGGAUGGGCCCGCGGCCUAUCAGCUAGUUGGUGGGGUAAUGGCCUACCAAGGCGACGACGGGUAGCCGGCCUGAGAGGGCGACCGGCCACACUGGGACUGAGACACGGCCCAGACUCCUACGGGAGGCAGCAGUGGGGAAUAUUGCGCAAUGGGCGAAAGCCUGACGCAGCGACGCCGCGUGAGGGAUGAAGGCCUUCGGGUUGUAAACCUCUUUCAGCAGGGACGAAGCGAAAGUGACGGUACCUGCAGAAGAAGCACCGGCUAACUACGUG
rnacentral:rRNA from 1 species